rnacentral:rRNA from 1 species
UACAGAGGGUGCGAGCGUUAAUCGGAUUUACUGGGCGUAAAGCGCACGUAGGCGGUUUUUUAAGUCAGAUGUGAAAGCCCCGGGCUCAACCUGGGAAUUGCAUUUGAAACUGGGAAACUAGAGUGUGUGAGAGGGGGGUAGAAUUCCAAGUGUAGCGGUGAAAUGCGUAGAGAUUUGGAGGAAUACCAGUGGCGAAGGCGGCCCCCUGGCACAACACUGACGCUCAGGUGCGAAAGCGUGGGGAGCAAACAGG